GUGCAGCAGGCGCGAAAACUCCGCAAUGCGCGAAAGCGUGACGGGGUCACCCCGAGUGCCGUCCGCUGAGGAUGGCUUUUGCCUGGUCUAACCAGCCGGGUGAAUAAGGGGAGGGCAAGUCUGGUGUCAGCCGCCGCGGUAAUACCAGCUCCCCGAGUGGUUGGGACGAUUAUUGGGUCUGAAGCGUCCGUAGCCGGCCGGAAAAGUUCUUCGUUAAAUCCAGCGAUCCAAUCGCUGGGCCGCGGGGAAUACUGCUCGGCGUGGGGGCGAGGUAUGCCGGCGGUAGUCCCGGGGUAGGGGCGAAAUCCUAUAAUCCCGGGAGGACCACCAGUGGCGAAGGCGGCCGGCAAAGCGCGCCCGACGGUGAGGGACGAAAGCUGGGGGAGCGAACGGGAGUAGAUACCCGCGUAGUCC
rnacentral:rRNA from 1 species